rnacentral:rRNA from 1 species
UACAGAGGUCCCAAGCGUUGUUCGGAUUCACUGGGCGUAAAGGGUGCGUAGGUGGCUUGGUAAGUUCGAUGUGAAAUCUCCGGGCUUAACCCGGAAAUGGCAUUGAAUACUAUUGAGCUGGAGGUUUGGAGGGGGGACUGGAAUUCUCGGUGUAGCAGUGAAAUGCGUAGAUAUCGAGAGGAACACCAGUGGCGAAGGCGAGUCCCUGGACA